rnacentral:rRNA from 1 species
GUGGGGAAUAUUGGACAAUGGGCGAAAGCCUGAUCCAGCCAUGCCGCGUGUGUGAAGAAGGUCUUCGGAUUGUAAAGCACUUUAAGUUGGGAGGAAGGGCAGUAAGUUAAUACCUUGCUGUUUUGACGUUACCGACAGAAUAAGCACCGGCUAACUACGUGCCAGCAGCCGCGGUAAUACGAAGGGUGCAAGCGUUAAUCGGAAUUACUGGGCGUAAAGCGCGCGUAGGUGGUUUUGUAAGUUGGAUGUGAAAUCCCCUGGCUCAACCUGGGAACUGCCUCCAAAACUGCAUGACUAGAGUACGGUAGAGGGUAGUGGAAUUUCCUGUGUAGCGGUGAAAUGCGUAGAUAUAGGAAGGAACACCAGUGGCGAAGGCGACUACCUGGACUGAUACUGACACUGAGGUGCGAAAGCGUGGGGAGCAAACAGGAUUAGAUACCCCAGUAGUCC